GGAGUGGGUAGCUCAGUUGUACAGUGCAUGCUUUGUAUGUAUGAUGUCCUGGGUUCAAUUCCGAGCUUCUCCC